AGCUUUGCGCAGUGGCAGUAUCGUAGCCAAUGAGGUUUAUCCGAGGCGCGAUUAUUGCUAAUUAAAUCCCGUUUUGAAUUCUUUGGAUUCUUUUGGGUAUAUACCCAGACAUGGGACUGCUGGAUCAUAUGAUAAUUCUGUUUUUAAUUUUUGAGGACCCUCCAUAUUG
rnacentral:snRNA from 1 species